UAGCUCAGUUGGUAGUAGCGCAUGACUGUUAAUCAUGAUGUCGUAGGUUCGAGUCCUACUGGCGGA
rnacentral:tRNA from 4 species